GAUGAACGCUGGCGGCGUGCCUAAUACAUGCAAGUCGAGCGAAUGGAUUAAGAGCUUGCUCUUAUGAAGUUAGCGGCGGACGGGUGAGUAACACGUGGGUAACCUGCCCAUAAGACUGGGAUAACUCCGGGAAACCGGGGCUAAUACCGGAUAACAUUUUGAACCGCAUGGUUCGAAAUUGAAAGGCGGCUUCGGCUGUCACUUAUGGAUGGACCCGCGUCGCAUUAGCUAGUUGGUGAGGUAACGGCUCACCAAGUCAACGAUGCGUAGCCGAACUGAGAGGGGGAUAGGCCACACUGGGACUGAGAAACAGCCCAGACCACUACGGGAGGGAGCAGUAGGGAAUCUUCCGCAAUGGACGAGAGUCGGACGGAGCGACGCCGCGUGAGUGAUGAAGGCUUUCGGGUCGUAAAACUCUGUUGUUAGGGAAGAACAAGUGCUAGUUGAAUAAGCUGGCACCUUGACGGUACCUAACCAGAAAGCAACGGCUAACUACAUGCCAGCAGCCGCCGUAA
rnacentral:rRNA from 1 species